UACCGCCCGGUACGGGCGAUAUUAUUCGAAAUUAUAAUCCUUGGGACAAACCUUUCCUUCUGCGACACAUUUUCUUUCUUUUUCUCAUUCCAAUUUUGUGGUGUGACUAUAUAACAUAGCCAAGAUCCAUAUAGCCAGCCCCAAACAGUUGGGACAUCACAGCUUGUUAUCGUUGUUGUACUAUAUAGCAUGAGAAAGUAUUAGACUGUUUUUGUGUAAAUCUUUAAUGGCAAAGGUGCAAAUGAAAAGUGGUGGUCUGGGGAGCUGAUAAACAUGCCCUGUGGUGAAGCGGCAGGGAGGUGGGUGGCAGAGAAUAAAGCACAGAAGUUGUUAGAUUACUGAAGUUAAGGUGUUGAACAGCUAGCUGUAAAGGUGGUGGAUGCAAAGAUGAGGGUAGCAAGACAGAAGACAUCAGAACAUACAUGGUGAAAAGAACUAAAAUUCCCCCCAUAUGGUCUAUGUAGCAGAGUCACAAAGAAGUAGGUAUCAAAUCCUAAGUAAGAUUUAACAGCAUUAAACAAGAUAUUUUUAACCGAGGUGUAGGCAAGACAUGCAAGGAAAAAACAAGUAUGCAAUUUACCUUGUAAUAUGGAUCUUAUCUAAAUGAAAUUAUGAAAGUGUUAUUUCAAUUAAUUUCAUUAUUUUCUGUUUUGAAGAGUGGACCUGAACAGGUAGAUGACAUGUUCGAUAGAGAAUCCUGCAAUGACUACAAAAAACACCUCUUUUUUUUUUUUUUGCUUAAGAUGCUUCAAGUAGUAAACAUUUGUUCAGUUUUCCUCAACUCUAGCAAACUGCAGCUUCACUCAAUUGGAGAAGCGUAGUUUGAACUAACCACUUAAAU
rnacentral:lncRNA from 1 species